UCGAGUGCAAAGUAUCAUACAAGUAUAAACAAAUAUUUUGAAAUUGCCUUCAUAGCUUUAACUGCAAGUGAAACAUUUACGUUUAACAAAUCAUGUUUUAUUUUUUGCAGUUUUCCAGGUUGCUUUGGUGGCAUUAUUGCAUAGAUAGAGACCAUACGUGAUUCAUACACAAAAUCGACUGACGUGGUUUCAGAUUUGGAGCAGGAAGGGUGACCUUGUGUACGUACAGAUCACGGACUUAGACGUGUUGUCAGAACUGGAGCAUAAAUGGCAAUGGUAUAAUGAAUGGCCGACGUUCAGAUGUACAAAGUUAUACUGCAGACUUUGGAGCAUAAAGGGUGUGUAUGUUUACUUUUUAGCUGACCUGAGCCAUAGGCUCAGGGUGAGCUAUUGUGAUCACUCACCGUCCGUCGUCCGUAAACUUUUACUUUAAACGACAUCUCCUCAUAAACCG
rnacentral:lncRNA from 1 species